UACGUAGGGUGCGAGCGUUUGUCCGGAAUUAUUGGGCGUAAAGAGCUCGUAGGCGGUUUGUUGCGUCUAUCGUGAAAACCUGCAGCUUAACUGUGGGCUUGCGGUGGAUACGGGCAGACUUGAGUUCGGUAGGGGAGACUGGAAUUCCUGGUGUAGCGGUGAAAUGCGCAGAUAUCAGGAGGAACACCGGUGGCGAAGGCGGGUCUCUGGGCCGUAACUGACGCUGAGGAGCGAAAGCGUGGGGAGCGAACAGG
rnacentral:rRNA from 1 species